rnacentral:rRNA from 1 species
UCAGUUCGGACUGGGGUCUGCAACCCGACCCCACGAAGCUGGAUUCGCUAGUAAUCGCGCAUCAGCCAUGGCGCGGUGAAUACGUUCCCGGGCCUUGUACACACCGCCCGUCAAGCCAUGAAAGCCGGGGGGCGCCUGAAGUCCGUGACCGCGAGGGUCGGCCUAGGGUGAAACCGGUGAUUGGGGCUAAGUCGUAACAAGGUAGC